GAUGAACGCUAGCGGCAGGCUUAAUACAUGCAAGUCGAGGGGCAGCGCAGUGUAGCAAUACAUGGGCGGCGACCGGCAAACGGGUGCGGAACACGUACGCAACCUUCCUUUAACUGGGAGAUAGCCCACCGAAAGGUGGAUUAAUAUCCCAUAGUAUAUUUGAAUGGCAUCAUUUAGAUAUUAAAGCUCCGGCGGUUAAAGAUGGGCGUGCGUCUGAUUAGGUAGUUGGCGGGGGAACGGCCCACCAAGCCCACGAUCAGUAGCUGAUGUGAGAGCAUGAUCAGCCACAAGGGCACUGAGACACGGGCCCGACUCCUACGGGAGGCGGCAGUAAGGAAUAUUGGUCAAUGGACGCAAGUCUGAACCAGCCAUGCCGCGUGGAGGAUGAAGGCCCUCUGGGUUGUAAACUUCUUUUCUUUGGGACGAAACCCCUGUUUCUACGGGGACUGACGGUACCAGAGGAAUAAGCACCGGCUAACUCCGUGCCAGCCGCCGCGGUAAUAC
rnacentral:rRNA from 1 species